rnacentral:tRNA from 5 species
GGGUGAUUGCUCAGCUGGGAGAGCACCUCCCUUACAAGGAGGGGGUCGGCGGUUCGAUCCCGUCAUCACCCACCA